rnacentral:rRNA from 1 species
UACGUAGGCAGCGAGCGUUGUUCGGAGUUACUGGGCGUAAAGAGUGCGUAGGCGGUGCUCCAAGUCUGGUGUGAAAUCUCGCGGCUCAACUGCGAGGCUGCCUCCUAAACUGUCAGGCUCGAGCAGAGUAGAGGCAGGUGGAAUUCCCGGUGUAGCGGUGGAAUGCGUAGAGAUCGGGAAGAACAUCGGUGGCGAAGGCGGGCCUGCUGGG